AUUGAACGCUGGCGGCAUGCCUUACACAUGCAAGUCGAACGGUAACGGGCCUUCGGGUGCCGACGAGUGGCGAACGGGUGAGUAAUGCAUCGGAACGUACCUUUCAGUGGGGGAUAACGUAGCGAAAGUUACGCUAAUACCGCAUAUUCUGUGAGCAGGAAAGCAGGGGAUCGCAAGACCUUGCGCUGAUUGAGCGGCCGAUGUCAGAUUAGCUAGUUGGUGAGGUAAAGGCUCACCAAGGCGACGAUCUGUAGCGGGUCUGAGAGGAUGAUCCGCCACACUGGAACUGAGACACGGUCCAGACUCCUACGGGAGGCAGCAGUGGGGAAUUUUGGACAAUGGGGGCAACCCUGAUCCAGCCAUGCCGCGUGAGUGAAGAAGGCCUGGUUGUAAGACUCUUCGUCCGGACGAAUACGCAUGGUUAAGUACCUCGUGUCGGAUGACGGUACCGGCCGAUAAGAAGACACCGGCGUAACUACCGUGCCACGCACG
rnacentral:rRNA from 1 species